GAACUGCGAUAAGUGAUGUGAAUUGCAGACGUAUACGAAUCAUCGAACCCUUGAACGCAUUCUGCGCCUCGAAGCUUGUCUUCGAGGCAUAUCUGGGUGAGUGUCGGUUUAACCUUCUUGCAUAUAAUGCACUUGAUGUAGUCUUAUGCAGCGUUUGAUAGUAAAUCGUUAAGGUCUUCUAUUAAAAUAAAUCGAUACUCUUGAUUAGAAUUCUUCGGAAAUAGAGCAAUCCUCUUCUGAUUGGUUUGAAGGAACUUGUUGCUACUUGUCAUUUCGAAAUGGAUUGUAUUCUUAAUCUGAGAAUUCUUAGUCGAAUGGUACAUGUUGGAUUAAAAAUCUAAUUUUUAAUCAAACCUUCGACCUCACCUAGGUAAGAUUACCCGCUGAAUUUAA
rnacentral:misc_RNA from 1 species